rnacentral:rRNA from 1 species
CCUACGGGAGGCAGCAGUGGGGAAUAUUGGACAAUGGGGGGAACCCUGAUCCAGCCAUGCCGCGUGUGUGAAGAAGGCCCUCGGGUUGUAAAGCACUUUCAGUGAGGAAGAACGCCUGGUGGUUAAUACCCAUCAGGAAAGGCAUCACUCACAGAAGAAGCACCGGCUAACUCCGUGCCAGCAGCCGCGGUAAUACGGAGGGUGCGAGCGUUAAUCGGAAUUACUGGGCGUAAAGCGCGCGUAGGUGGCUUGAUAAGCCGGUUGUGAAAGCCCCGGGCUCAACCUGGGAACGGCAUCCGGAACUGUCAAGCUAGAGUGCAGGAGAGGAAGGUAGAAUUCCCGGUGUAGCGGUGAAAUGCGUAGAGAUCGGGAGGAAUACCAGUGGCGAAGGCGGCCUUCUGGACUGACACUGACACUGAGGUGCGAAAGCGUGGGUAGCAAACAGGAUUAGAUACCCUAGUAGUC